rnacentral:rRNA from 1 species
UACUGCCUCUAUGAUGGGGAUAACAGUUGGAAACGACUGCUAAUACCGAAUACGCUCAUAAUGAACUUUACGAGGAAAGGUGGCCUCUGCUUGCAAGCUAUCGCAUAGAGAUGAGUCCGCGUCCCAUUAGCUAGUUGGUGGGGUAACGGCCUACCAAGGCAACGAUGGGUAGCCGAUCUGAGAGGAUGAUCGGCCACACUGGAACUGAAACACGGUCCAG